GUUUUACCAUCUUCAUAAAAAUACUUGGAGGACAGCUGCAUCCACAGACGUCAAAUACGUGAUGACUUCUUUGACCAUUCUUCUCAGUCUUUUCUUUCCCAAAUAAGCACUUCCAGAUACGGUUCAAGAUGGGACCGUCUGGUUGCAGGAAAACAAGCUCAGGCUCCCACUGAGUCUACAUUAUGCACUGGGGCCACAAAUGGGCGUUUGGCUUAAACCUGACACUAACCCCAUUGGCUCCAUCACCAGAGCUGUCUGCACACAACAGGUAUCCAUGCACGUUGCCAACCAGUAGUUCUUAUCUUGGGGUGGCUUGGCUGUCAACCAGACCAGGGGAGCUGAUUGCUGGAGGCCUCAUCUCAGAAGCAAAGAACAGCAUCGUCCUUGCUCCAGUGUUUUCCAAAGACUCCAAGUCCCAGUGGAGAAGACUGGGCAUGACAGUGAAAGAGCUCAAACAGGUGAAGGGCCAGGAGGUGCAUGAAGUUCCUGGACAAACGAUAAUUAGUCAUACAAAUAAGAACAAGCACAGCAACAGACAUGGCAAUGGCAGCUUAGAGAGGUUCAGCUACUUGGGUCACCCCUUGUCAGGUGGGGGAGCUGAACCUUGGAUGCAGGGGUAUUUGUCUCUACUGUCUGAACUCUUCCUAACUGUUCGGAAUGACAGAAUGAGGAAAUGCACCCAAGGAAGAAGAGAGUAUGAGGGAUGUCUUUUUCACUGUGUUCAUAUCAUUGUCUGAUGAUUAGAAUGACUGACAUGAUAAAUACAG
rnacentral:lncRNA from 13 species